rnacentral:rRNA from 1 species
AGAGAGAGACAUGCGCGCAUAUCAAUAAGCGGAGGAAAAGAAACUAACAAGGAUUCCCCUAGUAACGGCGAGUGAAGCGGGAAGAGCUCAAAUUUGAAAUCUUCAAGGUUCUACCUUGACGAAUUGUAGUUUAUAGAAGUGUUUUCUGUUAGUGGAGUGGCAAAAGUUCUUUGGAAUAGGACAUCAUAGAGGGUGAGAAUCCCGUAUUUGACCAUUAUUUCCAACUUUGUGAUACACUUUCAAAGAGUCGGAUUGUUUGGGAAUGCAGUCCAAAAUGGGUGGUAAAUUUCAUCUAAAGCUAAAUACUGGCGAGAGACCGAUAGCGAACAAGUACCGUGAGGGAAAGAUGAAAAGAACUUUGAAAAGAGAGUUAAACAGUACGUGAAAUUGUCAAAAGGGAAGCGUUUGACACCAGUGUUGUUUUCUCGAAAAUCAAUUAAGAAUGAUUGAUUUUGAGGUUGUAUUGACUUUAUCAGGCUUGCUGCCUCUUCUCUUGGAACUUUCUUAAUGCACUUUUCGGUUAACAAGUCAACAUCAAUUUCUUUUGUUGUAAAAGGGUCAUGAGGAAGGUGGCUUUCUUUUCGGAGGAAGUGUUUAUAGCCUUUGGCUUCUGCAAUCGGAGAGAUUGAGGUCUGCAGCGUAGAUCCUUCGGGGUUAGAUACAUUUGUGCUAAGUUAUAGCUUUCAUAGACAACUUGUUGACUAUGAUUAGUCAUUGUAGCUUACUCGCUUAUGCUAUUUUACCUACGCUUAGGAUGUUGACAGCAGUAUAGACUGU